rnacentral:rRNA from 1 species
AUACGGAGGGUGCAAGCGUUAAUCGGAAUUACUGGGCGUAAAGCGCGCGUAGGCGGUUUUGUAAGUCGGAUGUGAAAGCCCAGGGCUCAACCUUGGAAUUGCAUUCGAAACUGCAUGACUAGAGUAUGGUAGAGGGAAGUGGAAUUCCAGGUGUAGCGGUGAAAUGCGUAGAUAUCUGGAGGAACAUCAGUGGCGAAGGCGACUUCCUGGACCAAUACUGACGCUGAGGUGCGAAAGCGUGGGGAGCAAACAGGAUUAGAAACCCCAGUAGUCC